rnacentral:lncRNA from 1 species
AGGAUGCCAGCCCACGGAAUGGUGCCGCCCACAUCCAGGGUGGUUCCUCCGUCUUUCGUUGAACCUUUCUGGAAACACUCUUGCCAACACCCUCAGAGACGCAUCUCCGUCCGAGGUGAUCCCAAAUCCAGUUCCUAGGUUUGAGCUCAGGUCCUGUGCUUGUACAAGAAUCACUUUACUGACUGAAGUGUUACUCUGCCCAGUUACUGAGUUCUUACAAGAAAAACUAGGGCACUGAACAAGAACUGGACUCUGAAACUUGGAAUGGGCACAUCUGAAUGGGCUGAGUGACCCACAGUUUGCUUUGUGAAAGCUGCACUCCAUGGUCGACAAUACACUAGAGACACUGGGACUACGCAAAAGCUGGACACCUGCCCUUGGGACACACAGCUUGGGUUGUUUCCACUCCAGCCAAGCAUGGAAGGAGGAACUGGAUGGUUGUGGGUAGGCUUUGGGGGGCUGCAAGGAGGUAGAUGCGUUUGCAGAGUGUGAGCUCUAGAUGGCGGGGGCCAGCAGCCCUGGACAUGUCCUGUAGGCAUAUACCUCAGCUUGGGUGAAUGCACAGCUUCUAGAACCCUCCACCACAGUCUCCAGGCUGCUGGGUACCUGGUCUAGCCUGGGAUUCUUCCAUGAGACAGUGUGUAGGCUGAGGGGCCUGGCCAGCUAAGACUCAUCCCCAUCUUCAGGGAUUAGAGGUCUGUGGUCAGGACAGAGGUGGUGGUGAAGAGACAGUGCACUUCACUGCGACAAAAUCCUACAGGCUGGGAACCUUAUCAAGUGAGAUUUAUUUCUCAUGGCUGUGGAAGGAGAACUCCAAGGAGGAGCCCUGGUAGGUAUGUGGGGACAGGCCUGCAGCCUGGUUUGUAGGUGGCACUCCCCGACUCAGUACUCAUACAUGGGUGGGCUGAAGUGCCUUCAAAGCCACAGACCCCAAUCUUUAGGGCUCCAUCAUCACAACCUAACUCCUCCCCACCCACAAGACCCACAUUCUGGCAACACCCCAUCAGUGGUGGGGUCUCAAUGCAUGGAUUUCUGGGAACCCAUUCAGACCACAGCAAGGUG